GCAACGUGAGGCCGCAGGCGGUUGGUAGGGCCGGGGCAGGAAGUGCUUCGUGGCGGCGGAGAGCACUUCCGGGGCAGCGCGGCAUGGCGGCGCCGGGCCGACCGUCGAGGAGCAGAGUGUGAGUGGCUGCGACAUUGCGUUGGGCCUCAGGAGAACAGUGUGUGACUGUGUCUCGAGCAUCGUGCGUGGCCGUUGCCAGAAAGCAGCCUCCUGGAGAGCAGCAGAGCAGCAGGCUGUCUGCGCUAUGGCCGCUGAACUGCAUUUCUCACCCCGUGAGAUCCCUGAGCCCACGCUGAUGGAGAACGUGCUG